rnacentral:rRNA from 1 species
AGUAACGCGUGAGGAACCUGCCUUCCAGAGGGGGACGAACAGUUGGAAACGACUGCUAAUACCGCAUGAUGCGUUGGAGCCGCAUGACUCCGACGUCAAAUAUUUAUCGCUGGAAGAUGGCCUCGCGUCUGAUUAGCUAGUUGGUGAGGUAACGGCCCACCAAGGCGACGAUCAGUAGCCGGACUGAGAGGUUGGCCGGCCACAUUGGGACUGAGAUACGGCCCAGACUCCUACGGAAGGCAGCAG